rnacentral:rRNA from 1 species
CCUACGGGAGGCAGCAGUGGGGAAUUUUGGACAAUGGGCGCAAGCCUGAUCCAGCAAUGCCGCGUGCAGGAUGAAGGCCUUCGGGUUGUAAACUGCUUUUGUACGGAGCGAAACGGUCUGCUUUAAUACAGUGGGCUAAUGACGGUACCGUAAGAAUAAGCACCGGCUAACUACGUGCCAGCAGCCGCGGUAAUACGUAGGGUGCGAGCGUUAAUCGGAAUUACUGGGCGUAAAGCGUGCGCAGGCGGUUAUAUAAGACAGAUGUGAAAUCCCCGGGCUCAACCUGGGACCUGCAUUUGUGACUGUAUAGCUAGAGUACGGUAGAGGGGGAUGGAAUUCCGCGUGUAGCAGUGAAAUGCGUAGAUAUGCGGAGGAACACCGAUGGCGAAGGCAAUCCCCUGGACCUGUACUGACGCUCAUGCACGAAAGCGUGGGGAGCAAACAGGAUUAGAUACCCUGGUAGUCCACGCCCUAAACGAUGUCAACUGGUUGUUGGGUCUUCACUGACUCAGUAACGAAGCUAACGCGUGAAGUUGACCGCCUGGGGAGUACGGCCGCAAGGUUGAAACGUCAAAGGAAUUGACGG